rnacentral:rRNA from 1 species
GUACAAAGAGCUGCAAGACCGCGAGGUGGAGCUAAUAUCAUAAAACCGUUCUCAGUUCGGAUUGUAGGCUGCAACGCGCCUACAUGAAGCUGGAAUCUCUAGUAAUCGCGGAUCAGCAUGCCGCGGUGAAUACGUUCCCGGGCCUUGUACACACCGCCCGUCACACCACGAGAGUUUGUAACACCCGAAGUCGGUGGGGUAACCUUUUUGGAGCCAGCCGCCUAAGGUGGGACAGAUGAUUGGGGUGAAGUCGUAACAAGGUAGCCGUAUCGGAAGGUGCGGCUGGAUCACCUCCUUUCUAUGGAGA